rnacentral:snoRNA from 1 species
ACUCCAUGAUGAGGGCACUUCCGUAAUAGUUCUUUGUACCUUUCCCAUACCUCAUACAAGGACUCAUCAUCCAUUUGUUGGAAAGCAGUGAUUUCGUUCCUCAACUU